rnacentral:tRNA from 1 species
GUGCUUGUGGUGUAGUGGUUAUCACAUCCGCUUCACACCCGGAAGGCCCAGGGUUCAAUCCCUGGCAGGCACA